GAGUAGCUGGGACUGCAGGCGCCCGCCACCAUGCCUGGCUAAUUUUUUGUAUGUUUAGUAGAGACGGGGUUUCACCGUGUUAGCCAGGAUGGUCUCUAUCUCCUGACCUUGUGAUCUGCCUGCCUCGGCCUCCCGAAGUGCCGGGAUUACAAGCGUGAGCCACCAUUCCCGGCCCAAAGAGGAGAAGAAGUAUGAAGUGCUUGCUUGGACCUUUCUACUGUGCUUAUUAUUCUGUCUUCUCCUCAUGGCAACUCUGCUCAGGCAACUCUUCCUCUGAGGAUCCUUCCAGUGACAAUUCAAGAAUUAGCGACUCAAUUCCCAGGGUCCCUUAGACCUUCGACCUGCUUGUGGGCAAUUUGGAAACAAGGAUUGUGCCUGAAUCACCUUUGCAUUCCUAGCAUCGUUUUUCCUGGAUAAUAAUUUGUUCAAUAUAUGUUCAAUAAUUGUUCAAUUAUUCAAUAACAAAUGUUCAAUAAAUGUGUGUUAAAUGAAUGACCACAGCUCCUAUAGCAGGUAGCUGACUUUGUGUCUCCUCAACCAAUCUCUGAGCUCUUUGAAACAAAGCCUAUUUUGUUUGAAUGUAAAUUUAUCAUCCCAGUUUCUGGUACAGGGUAGGGAACUAAUGCAUAUGUGGUGAAACAAUCAAUGCCUUAGUGCUUAUGAAGAAUAUCACUGUGUUACACAGAAGCAUGGAAUGACUAAUGUUAAGCUAAACUCAAGUUACUUAGGGAAUAUUAACUUGCAUUUAUUAUACUCUGGGGGAAAAACACAUAUAUGUGUAUAUAUGUAUAACAUAUGUAUGUAUACACAUAUCAGAAUUUGUAUAUGAGAAUGUCUGAUUACUAUCAAAAUACUAUGAUUAAGAAUUAAUUGCAAGACUUUGUAAUUAAAGGUGUCGACACCUCUUAUGUCUCCCUA
rnacentral:lncRNA from 1 species